UAAGGUAGCAUAAUCAAUUGGCUUUUAAUUGAAGUCUGGAAUGAAUGGAUUCAUGGGAGCAAGCUGUCUCAUUCUUUUGUAUAGAAUUUAAUAAGUGGGUGAAAAUGCCCACAAAAGGAAAAAAGACGAUAAGACCCUGAUGAAUUUUUAUAAGAGGUAGUAGAUCCUACUUUUUUUUUGUUGGGGCGACAUAGAAGCAGAUGAACCUUCUAGGAUAACAUGCCGAUUUUAAAAAGAAAGAGUAAAUUACCACAGGGAUAACAGCACAAUUAGUUAACUAGCUUAUGACCUCGAUGUUGGACUAGGAACUAUUUUGGCUGAGUCGUCAAAAUAUCUUGUUCUGUUCGAACAUUAUUUCCU
rnacentral:rRNA from 1 species